CCUACGGGAGGCAGCAGUGAGGAAUAUUGGUCAAUGGCCGAGAGCCUGAACCAGCCAAGUAGCGUGAAGGAAGACGGCCCUACGGGUUGUAAACCUCUUUUGUCCGGGAGCAACGAGAGUCACGUGUGACUCAUUGAGUGUACCCGAAGAAAAAGGAUCGGCUAACUCCGUGCCAGCAGCCGCGGUAAUACGGAGGAUUCGAGCGUUAUCCGGAUUUAUUGGGUUUAAAGGGUGCGGAGGCCGGAUGGCAAGGGCGCUGUGAAAUUUCCGGGCUCAACCCGGGUCUUGCGGUGGAAACUGGCUGUCUUGAGUGCGCGAGAAGUAGGCGGAAUUCGUGGUGUAGCGGUGAAAUGCAUAGAUAGCACGAAGAACUCCGAUUGCGAAGGCAGCUUACUGGAGCGGAACUGACGCUGAUGCACGAAAGCGUGGGUAUCGAACAGGAUUAGAUACCCGAGUAGUC
rnacentral:rRNA from 1 species